rnacentral:rRNA from 1 species
UACGGAGGGUCCGAGCGUUAAUCGGAAUUACUGGGCGUAAAGCGUGCGCAGGCGGUUUGUUAAGCGAGAUGUGAAAGCCCUGGGCUCAACCUAGGAAUAGCACUUCGAACUGGCGAACUAGAGUCUUGUAGAGGGGGGUAGAAUUCCAGGUGUAGCGGUGAAAUGCGUAGAGAUCUGGAGGAAUACCGGUGGCGAAGGCGGCCCCCUGGACAAAGACUGACGCUCAUGCACGAAAGCGUGGGGAGCAAACAGG